UGGGGAAUCUUGGACAAUGGGGGCAACCCUGAUCCAGCGACGCCGCGUGGGUGAUGAAGGCCUUAGGGUUGUAAAGCCCUUUCGCCGGGGACGAUGAUGACGGUACCCGGAGAAGAAGCACCGCCUAACUCCGUGCCAGCAGCCGCGGUAAGACGGAGGGUGCUAGCGUUGUUCGGAAUCACUGGGCGUAAAGCGUCCGCAGGUGGUGCCUCAAGUCUGCUGUCAAAGACCGAAGCUCAACUUCGGGCAGGCAGUGGAAACUGAAGCACUAGAGUACGGUAGGGGUAGAGGGAAUUUCCAGUGUAGCGGUGAAAUGCGUAGAGAUUGGAAAGAACACCAGUGGCGAAGGCGCUCUUCUGGACCGUAACUGACACUCAGGGACGAAAGCUAGGGGAGCGAAAGGGAUUAGAUACCCCCGUAGUCC
rnacentral:rRNA from 1 species